rnacentral:rRNA from 1 species
CCCUUAGACGUUCUGGGCCGCACGCGCGCUACACUGACCAGUGCAACAAGCAUCCGUCCUUGGCCGACAGGCCCGGGCAAUCUUUGAACGCUGGUCGUGAUGGGGAUAGACUUUUGCAAUUUUUGGUCUUCAACGAGGAAUUCCUAGUAAACGCAAGUCAUCAACUUGCAUUGAUUACGUCCCUGCCCUUUGUACACACCGCCCGUCGCGCCUACCGAUUGAAUGGUCCGGUGAAGCCUCCGGAUUGGCGCGCACCUCGGUGCCGCCGAGAAGUUGGCUAAACCUUACCAUUUAGAGGAAGGUGAANUCGUANCA